ACAGUAGCAGAUCGAGUAAAGGCCAAGGGAAACAAAAACAUUAUGGAAUGGCAGCAACACCAUCAACCAUAACUUGUUUAGUUUCAUACAUUUGUAUUCAUAGCCAUAGAAUAAAAUCUUUGCGGGCAGCAUAGUCAAACAGAAAGCGGAAGAACUGGAAAUGGAAAGUGACAGAAGCAGCACUGCAGGCAUAAUACGGCAUGUCUAAACUUUUAGACAUAGAGGAACCAACUCAAGGCAAACAACGUAAGAAAAGAAAAGGCAGCAGCUUGAAG
rnacentral:lncRNA from 1 species